AUGCACGCUGGCGGCGUGCCUAAUACAUGCAAGUCGAGCGAACAGAUAAGGAGCUUGCUCCUUUGACGUUAGCGGCGGACGGGUGAGUAACACGUGGGUAACCUACCUAUAAGACUGGGAUAACUUCGGGAAACCGGAGCUAAUACCGGAUAACAUUUGGAACCGCAUGGUUCUAAAGUGAAAGAUGGUUUUGCUAUCACUUAUAGAUGGACCCGCGCCGUAUUAGCUAGUUGGUAAGGUAACGGCUUACCAAGGCAACGAUACGUAGCCGACCUGAGAGGGUGAUCGGCCACACUGGAACUGAGACACGGUCCAGACUCCUACGGGAGGCAGCAGUAGGGAAUCUUCCGCAAUGGGCGAAAGCCUGACGGAGCAACGCCGCGUGAGUGAUGAAGGGUUUCGGCUCGUAAAACUCUGUUAUUAGGGAAGAACAAAUGUGUAAGUAACUGUGCACGUCUUGACGGUACCUAAUCAGAAAGCCACGGCUAACUACGUG
rnacentral:rRNA from 1 species